CCCGAACGUCCUCUCGACCCCGCUCCCCACACCCGGGCGCGGCCACGGCCUUGUGUUCGUUGGUUAGCCGCGAAGGCGCACGCACACACACACACACAGACAACUCCACUGUCCCUCCUUACUCCCGCUGUGGCGGCGUCAGCGGCGCCCAACACGCGACGUGGCCGCUGUUUCGACGCUGGCAUUGUCAUCGUCACCACCGCCGCCGCUCCAUGCAACGCUACUCAGCUGCCACGUUUGUGUGUGUGUGUGUGGGGGGGGGGGGGGGGGGGGGUACUGUCCUUGACUGAGUAGGUCGAUAAACAGCGACGGCAAGAGCAUGUGGCUUCAUUGAGGGUUAGGGAGAGACGCACACACGCAUUGCACACAGAUUUUCGCCUAGAAGAGGAAGGGAGCAAAAAGCACGCGCGCACGCACGCACCUCCUCCACACCGCGGAUCGCGAGUAUACAUGACCGGGCUCUCCCGCGCACGAGGCCCAUCCUACGAUGCGGAGAGCAUCUCCAGCAGCAUCACAGGCAGCUGCCCAUCCGCCCCCGCUCCAUUCAAGUACCUUACCGCGUCGAGCGAGGUGACGUGCUACCAACACCCCAGCUUCCGGUCGCUGGAAUUGCUCUUACCAGCCCCACUGUGGUCCGAUGCGUUCGUGCAGGAGCGCGCGCGUUACACCCUGCUGCCGCGGCACCUCUUUCCGUUUUCGAGCCCUUCGGCCGGGGUCAUUCGCGAGCCCUCCUCGUCGUACGCGCUAGAUCCUGCAUCGCGCACGACAGCAACGACGGCUGCUGCCCUGGAGGAGCCGCGCCGCGCAAGCUCUGCUGAUGUUGGCGGCCGCCUGUCCGGCAGAUGGUCCUUCAUGGCAAUUUACCGAAACUUCAAACGAGCACGUGAGGCGGCCGCCACGCGCGAGAAGGUGGCCGAGGUGCCGCGACGUGCGUGCCUGGCCGAAAGCCCCGUUGAGGACGCGCUUCUCUUGGAGUGCCCCCGCUGCGCCUUGUCCCCUUCUAUUCGUUAUCUCCCAUCCCCCUCGAUGUCUCUGGUCGACGGCUGUAGCGUUGCCGAGGUGGACGAUGGUGAUGACUACGGCGAGGUAGUGAAUGUGCGAGGCAACGGGCUGAGCUCGCCGUGCUCCUGCUCUACGACAACGUCACGGGCCGAGUCGAUCGGCGCCGCUGCGUGGCACCCCACCACGGUCGCUGUUGCCUCUGAGAUGGGCACAAAGUACGCCAUGGUGCGUGAGUGCCAGAUGACGCGGUCUGCUUCCUCAGUGACUGCUGCUGUUGCUGCUACCUCGCUCAACGCAGCGCACGCAGAGGCCCUUCGGAUGUUCGAGACCGUUCUCGAUCGCGUAUCCGUUGCGCAUGAAACCCGCUGCCCUCUCUGCUCCCCGCCGCGGCCGCCGCCGUGGGGCCGCUGUGCACAGCCAGCGUCGCUCAACGGGCCGCUGCCAGCGCUUGCCCCCACUGCGCGUGCCGGCGAUGCCGCCCCCAUCUAUCCCGAAAAGUCGCGUGUCGUGGCCAGCGACCUGCUGGAUGCGCACGAGCUCUCUCUUGAUGCGGAAAAGCAGGCAGGGAUGGAAGCGCAUCGCCUACGCCUGCUGCGCCGUGCACGCUCGCUGCUUAACCGCCAUGGCGACCGCCUUCGCUACCUAAGCGAGACCAAACCCUCGCUCUUCAGAGAGACUGUGCAGUCCCAUCCGCUGGCACGCGCCUGUGCACAGCUGGGUGGGCUGCCACUGUUGCGUGCGCUCUCCGCCACGCUGUAGCACCACGCCCCUACCGCCGCGACUGCUGUCGCCUCUCGCGUGAGAAACGGAAAGAGGGAAGGGGGAGGAGCACACGUGCAUCACCCGCUCCUAGGCUCGGCCCUCUGCCACCGUUCUCGGAAAACG
rnacentral:misc_RNA from 1 species